rnacentral:misc_RNA from 2 species
ACGUAUCUCUGGCGGGUGCCUCCGCGCCCUGCUCCGGUCCAAACGGGCCGUGCAGCGGGUGAGCCGGCCCUGUCCAACCUUCACAAACCCACUGUGCACAUUGACGGCAGAAGGGCCCUCUAGUGGGGCUUGGAAGCCGCUUCAACAAACUCGUAAACUAUUUGAAUGUCUAGCGGCCUCUGUGUCGCCUAAAUUUGAAA